CUUACAACAGCAGGACUGCUGGAGGGAUAAAGUACUACACAGUGAUUCAGAGAAUUAAACGAGGGUGACGCCAAUCACAGCAGUUCAUUUAGACUUCCACAGUUUAACAAAAGAAAGGUUGUCAUGGAAAUCAAUGAUUCAUAAUGAUUUUCCUUCUGAAGCUUGGC